AGGAGAUCAGGGUAGCAGAAAAUAGCUUCUUAUAAAAGAAAAAAGCUUGUUUUAAGGUCUUGUUUUGUUUUGUUUUGUUUUAUUCCCAAGCAAAGGAAUAGUUCCAUUACUUCCUUACUGCACUUAAUAUCCCAAAUGGACGAUCAGAUGCAUGGUUUCCUGCAGCAAGAUGCUUGUUCUGCCUUAUGUGAUUGCUGGAGUACUGUCAACAGCACUAAAUAGAACAUGGUAUUCAGAAGACCUGGGUUUGAAUUUUGAUUCCCUGUGUGGGACCUUGAAUAGAACAUUCAUCUGCUGAGUCAUAACUACUUUUGUAAAAUGAAGCUACUCUCUUCACCAAUGUGUAUGAAGUAAAGAAGAGCAAUCGUCAUCUAAAUUUUCUGAGAGUCAACAACUAUCCACGCGGGCCACGGAACUACGCUCAAUCACCAUGUCUGCUCAUGCUCCCGUUGUAGGAGGUGGUUAUGUCCCGUCAUCCUAUCAGGUCGUUCCUCUCCUUUCCACGCUGCAGUGGACCUCAGCUGACCACAUAAGGAACGCCAUGGCCACAUGGAGGUUUUCCUCUGAACUUCCUUUGACUCUCUGGAAGUUGGACCCGUCUAACCGUUGUCUUUGGAGAAUGCAGGCCAUCUGUACAAUGACUGACCUACUCUGUACUCAGGACACUUAGCCUGUUCACAGGGGCUCCCAGGAGCAAACGGUCACAAGGAAUCAUUUUAGAAACGCUUGGCCCCAAGAUUCUUUUAUCCCCAAUCAGGUGUUCUCAAGUUAUCAGGAUGCCCCCACAGAUGGAUACUGCUUGGCCAGGAAGGCGCAGUUUCGUAUGUGUCUGUCUGCAGACAUUGUUUGGAUCUUUCCGUUCCAGCUGCCGGCGGCUGACAAAUCCACACGAGGGACGCAUUUGGUGGCUUUUCUAGCAGACGGCCCAAGCCGACAGAACCUUUGCCAUGUGGGCUGCCUGGCUGAAGCCACCCCAGGUUUUAGAGCCUCUUCCGUGCCUUGCUGGCUUCUUUCGUCUUUAAGGGAAGUGUGCUGAUGGACAAAGUGAAAGGCUUUCCCUCUCAUGCAUUGCUGAGACUUCUCUGGAUGUGCACGGAGUUUUCUCAGAGCUUUCACUGAGCAGGGCUACUCUUCUGUGCCAGAA